UGUAUUGGAAAUCUGAAAAUU
rnacentral:piRNA from 1 species